UGGGGAAUAUUGGACAAUGGGCGAAAGCCUGAUCCAGCCAUGCCGCGUGUGUGAAGAAGGUCUUCGGAUUGUAAAGCACUUUAAGUUGGGAGGAAGGGCAGUAAGCGAAUACCUUGCUGUUUUGACGUUACCGACAGAAUAAGCACCGGCUAACUCUGUGCCAGCAGCCGCGGUAAUACAGAGGGUGCAAGCGUUAAUCGGAUUUACUGGGCGUAAAGCGCGCGUAGGCGGCUAAUUAAGUCAAAUGUGAAAUCCCCGAGCUUAACUUGGGAAUUGCAUUCGAUACUGGUUAGCUAGAGUGUGGGAGAGGAUGGUAGAAUUCCAGGUGUAGCGGUGAAAUGCGUAGAGAUCUGGAGGAAUACCGAUGGCGAAGGCAGCCAUCUGGCCUAACACUGACGCUGAGGUACGAAAGCAUGGGGAGCAAACAGG
rnacentral:rRNA from 1 species